AUUGAACGCUGGCGGCAUGCCUUACACAUGCAAGUCGAACGGCAGCACGGGAGCUUGCUCCUGGUGGCGAGUGGCGAACGGGUGAGUAAUAUAUCGGAACGUACCCUAGAGUGGGGAUAACGCAGCGAAAGUUGCGCUAAUACCGCAUACGAUCUACGGAUGAAAGUGGGGGAUCGCAAGACCUCAUGCUCAUGGAGCGGCCGAUAUCUGAUUAGCUAGUUGGUGGGGUAAAGGCCUACCAAGGCUUCGAUCAGUAGCUGGUCUGAGAGGACGACCAGCCACACUGGAACUGAGACACGGUCCAGACUCCUACGGGAGGCAGCAGUGGGAAUUUGGACAAUGGGCGAAGACCUGAUCCAGCAAUGCCGCGUGAGUGAAGAAGGCCU
rnacentral:rRNA from 1 species